rnacentral:tRNA from 1 species
GCGGGUGUAGCUCAGUUGGUUAGAGUGCCGGCCUGUCACUCCGGAGGUCGCGGGUUCGAGCCCCGUCACUCGCGCCA